rnacentral:rRNA from 1 species
AUUGAACGCUAGCGGCAUGCCUUACACAUGCAAGUCGAACGAGUGGCGGACGGGUGAGUAAUAUCUCGGAACGUGCCCAGUAGCGGGGGAUAACUACUCGAAACAGUGGCUAAUACCGCAUACCAUCGGAUCUGCCCAGAUCGGAUUAGCUAGUUGGUGGGGUAAAGGCUCACCAAGGCGACGAUCCGUAGCUGGUUUGAGAGGACGACCAGCCACACUGGGACUGAGACACGGCCCAGACUCCUACGGGAGGCAGCAGUGGGGAAUUUUGGACAAUGGGGGAAACCCUGAUCCAGCCAUCCCGCGUGUAUGAGAAGGCCUUCGGGUUGUAAAGUACUUUUGGCAGAGAAGCGGUAUCUGCAGAAUAAGCACCGGCUAACUACGUGCCAGCAGCCGCGGUAAUUC